UGAAUAAACUCUGUGGUCUAACUCAAAUUACCUAUGAUAACCCAUCAGUUAUCAGUGCUAUGCACCUCAAUUGGAGAAACAACCGUGUCAAGCAUGGACUCAUGGAGAACCAAGGUGGCUGCCUUAUCCUUCCUGAGCUUUUAAAGCUUUUAUAAUUUAAAGUUCUGCAUUCCAUGACUCAUCAUGGAAAAGAUAAAAUGAUCCAAGUUAAAUGCAUAUUGGUGUGGUGACUUCUAAAUUGCUAAAAUAGUUUAUGACCAAUGUUUGGUUUGCCAAACCCAUAUUCCUGGGAAGACAAUCAAAGCUUCAGGUACAUUCUGCUACCUCAUGAGCCGUUUAAACAUUUAUGAAGAGAUUUCAGUCAAUUGUCAUUUUCAAUGCAUGUUUUCUGGUUGUGUAAAAGCUUUCCUAUACAAGUGAACUGAUGUUAUAACAGUAGAUUAUUAUUUCACAGUGUAUUUUCACCAGGUAAAGAAAGCUUUUUAUGGUUCACUGACUGAGGACAAUCAACCCCUUCACAAUCUAGAACCUGAAGAUUGGAUCUUCUGAGAACAUCAGAGAAAGACUGCCCUUGCCAUCCACACUGCAGCAAACAUCAGAACCAUGAACCUUGGCUUCAUAAUCUCACAACUGAGAAGGAUCCCUCCACAUUCUUGGAAAUAUACACCCAUUGGAACCCGUAAGCAGACCAUGUGUCAACGUAUGCAGAGUUUGUGCAGACACACAGACCCUCUGGGGAGUAUAUGUUUGAAUCUGAUGAAGAUGAGCAGUUAUUUGUGCACCUGGACAAGAAGGAGAUGGUCUGGCAUCUGUGACAGUUUAUUCACACUGUGUCAAACUUUCUCAGCCAGAAGUUGACAUAAGGAAGUCACCAGCUUCGGUCUCCUUUAAAUCUCCAGGCCUAACUUCUUUUUGAAUCUCUGCUCUUCAACCACAAUGACUUAUGUACCCCAAGACCCCUCUACCUCCUGGCUGCCUAUGAUCCUCCUGCACCUAGCACUCAGCAAAGGGUCUGACAUUUAGAUAGCCCUCAAUCAAUAUGAAGAAUUUAAAGUGUAGUGACAAGGUGGUGCCCACACUGGAUGGUCUGUAUGCUGUGGUCUCAUCAGGAACCUUUCUCUGCACUGCAUUUUUCCUGAGAAAUCCCAGAGUUCAAUAAAUACCUGUGUAUGUCAGAGCUAGACACAUCUGAUGCCUUUCUGUGACUCCUUAUAUUCUCAGUUUCCUAGGAAUGCAUAUCCUGGACUUGUAAUUGUAGGAUACAGGUGCAUUAUGGGUGCAGAUACCUCAGUUUUGCAUCCUGCAAGAGUUAGUCUGCAGAUUGUUCACUCCACUCUGGGUACGGCUGACACCUACAGCAUGCGUCCAGGGGACAAAAAUGGAAGGAGAUGACUCUGAUUGGAUAGUGAGAGGAACACGGGUAGCUCUGGUAAACUGACCAGGGAUAGGCGCCCAGGGGCACACAAGGCCCAGAAGCUGCUUGUGAGAAGUCAGGGAGAAGGAAGCCAACAACUGGAUGUAUCAGAGAGCCACUGAGUGCUCAUUAUGUGUAUCAGGAGUUAAGAAUCCAUCCUCUACACGAAAAGGAAAGCUUAGACCAAACAUGUCUUCUACCUUGAUUUACAGUAACUUAAUAUGAAAUGCAAAACACAUAAAAAUUUUGGAUUGUAAAAAAAAGAUCAGUGUUUGAAAGAGUGCCACACCUAUUGCUUUGCACUUUCAACAAUGGGGAGGCGUUUCUCACUGUAUGAAUUAUUAGCUCAGGAGGUCUAGGCUGGUGAAUGAAUGCAGACUUAGAGGAUAAAUGUCGUCUACUUGAUGCAUUCAAAAGGCCAAGCAACAUUUGGUUAAGGAGUAUUUGUGAUGGCAUGCAAAGAAAGUGUUGAAAGUGUGUUAGAUUAUAUUUAUCGUUUUAAAUUCUGAUGCUUAUUUAAUUUCUUAACAGUAAUGCUAAAACAUGCUCUUAGUAAGUUAUAUGUUGAAUCAGUGCUAUGUUAAUAUGGGCCCUAUAACACAGAUUUGCAGUCUGUUCACCACUGAAUAGCUAAGAAUAGUGGUUUCAGACCUAAAUGGAUGAAGACACCAAACAUGAGGAUGGGGCAGCUCACUGAAAUAUAGUAAAUCCAGGAGAGGUCUAUGUCCAACAGGCCACCUUAUACAAUAGUUUGGAUGGAUUUUCAUGGUUUUCUUCUUUCUUAUGUCUAAACCACAAUGAACUUCUUUAUUAACUCUUACUGUUUGCUAAAACCCUCAAGAAAAAAAAGUGAUGAGACAUGACUUGGUGUAUAUUCUUAACAGAAAACAAUCAUGUUGGGUUUUGAUUACUCAUGGCACUAAGGAGAAAGGAACUUGGUUGGAGGCCCCAUGAGAGAAAUCAUGCAUUGAAUCCAGGAACAGAAUGAUAGAAACUGGCUUCAGUGCAACUACUCAGCAGCAGCAUCCUCUUGGGAGGCUGGGGGUCUGUCCUCGAAGCAGGUACUGGGACUAAAGAAACAGAAAAUGCUUGUUCCAAGGUACAUUAGUCUUUUAGGCAAGGUCAGCAACCCUGUGGAGGUAAAAAACAGUAAUCCCAGGUUGCUGGCCCCCUUCCUUUAAGUCCCAGGAGAGAAAAAUAACGGUGAGAGGCUGAAUCUCAGGCUGAUAAAGAAUAGAGUUGAUCUGAGCUUCCUUUAGCAAUGGAGCCAUGCAAUGCUCUUUCCCCACUCACCCCAGGGCUGAGGUUGAAACAGGGGUUCAGGCCUGAGACUCUCUUCCUAGAGGAGCCUCAGUGUCACAAUGUACAGAAAGGACUUAUGUCCUCCUGUAACUCCCCCAACAAGGAAAUCAAAGCAGGAAUAUUGCCUGUUUAUGCAGAUCCUUGUUGAACUGAAAUGAAAGGAAGAAAGAGAAUGUAUUCAGCUACUGAAACCACCUCAGACAAUUAGAGAAACGUUUCCAUCAUACUUCCAUUGUCCAUCACUCAAUGGACGCUCUGCAGGAGCCUGAGUAACUGGGACCU